ensembl:miRNA
AAGACAGAGAAGCCAGGUCACGUCUCUGCAGUUACACAGCUCACGAGUGCCUGCUGGGGUGGAACCUGGUCUGUCUGUCU